rnacentral:rRNA from 1 species
GACGAACGCUGGCGGCGUGCUUAACACAUGCAAGUCGAACGGAAAGGCCCUGCUUUUGUGGGGUGCUCGAGUGGCGAACGGGUGAGUAACACGUGAGUAACCUGCCCUUGACUUUGGGAUGACUUCAGGAAACUGGGGCUAAUACCGGAUAGGAGCUCCUGCUGCACGGUGGGGGUUGGAAAGUUUCGGCGGUUGGGGAUGGACUCGCGGCUUAUCAGCUUGUUGGUGGGGUAGUGGCUUACCAAGGCUUUGACGGGUAGCCGGCCUGAGAGGGUGACCGGCCACAUUGGGACUGAGAUACGGCCCAGACUCCUACGGGAGGCAGCAGUGGGGAAUAUUGCACAAUGGGCGGAAGCCUGAUGCAGCAACGCCGCGUGCGGGAUGACGGCCUUCGGGUUGUAAACCGCUUUCGCCUGUGACGAAGCGUGAGUGACGGUAAUGGGUAAAGAAGCACCGGCUAACUACGUGCCAGCAGCCGCGGUGAUACGUAGGGUGCGAGCGUUGUCCGGAUUUAUUGGGCGUAAAGGGCUCGUAGGUGGUUGAUCGCGUCGGAAGUGUAAUCUUGGGGCUUAACCCUGAGCGUGCUUUCGAUACGGGUUGACUUGAGGAAGGUAGGGGAGAAUGGAAUUCCUGGUGGAGCGGUGGAACGCGCAGAUAUCAGGAGGAACACCAGUGGCGAAGGCGGUUCUCUGGGCCUUUCCUGACGCUGAGGAGCGAAAGCGUGGGGAGCGAACAGGCUUAGAUACCCUGGUAGUCCACGCUGUAAACGGUGGGUACUAGGUGUGGGGUCCAUUCCACGGGUUCCGUGCCGUAGCUAACGCUUUAAGUACCCCGCCUGGGGAGUACGGCCGCAAGGCUAAAACUCAAAGGAAUUGACGGGGCCCCGCACAAGCGGCGGAGCAUGCGGAUUAAUUCGAUGCAACGCGUAGAACCUUACCUGGGUUUGACAUGGAUCGGGAGUGCUCAGAGAUGGGUGUGCCUCUUUUGGGGUCGGUUCACAGGUGGUGCAUGCCUGUCGUCAGCUCGUGUCGUGAGAUGUUGGGUUAAGUCCCGCAACGAGCGCAACCCUUGUUCACUGUUGCCAGCACGUUAUGGUGGGGACUCAGUGGAGACCGCCGGGGUCAACUCGGAGGAAGGUGGGGAUGACGUCAAGUCAUCAUGCCCCUUAUGUCCAGGGCUUCACGCAUGCUACAAUGGCUGGUACAGAGAGUGGCGAGCCUGUGAGGGUGAGCGAAUCUCGGAAAGCCGGUCUCAGUUCGGAUUGGGGUCUGCAACUCGACCUCAUGAAGUCGGAGUCGCUAGUACUCGCAGAUCAGCAACGCUGCGGUGAAUACGUUCCCGGG